rnacentral:rRNA from 1 species
UACGUAGGGUGCGAGCGUUGUCCGGAAUUAUUGGGCGUAAAGAGCUCGUAGGCGGUGUGUCGCGUCGGCCGUGAAAACCUGGGGCUCAACUCUGGGCGUGCGGUCGAUACGGGCAUCACUUGAGUUCGGCAGGGGAGACUGGAAUUCCUGGUGUAGCGGUGAAAUGCGCAGAUAUCUGGAGGAACACCGGUGGCGAAGGCGGCAUCCUGGACCAAUUCUGACGCUGAGGAGCGAAAGCCAGGGGAGCAAACGGG